rnacentral:rRNA from 1 species
AUUGAACGCUGGCGGCAGGCUUAACACAUGCAAGUCGAGCGGAGAUGAGGUGCUUGCACCUUAUCUUAGCGGCGGACGGGUGAGUAAUGCUUAGGAAUCUGCCUAUUAGUGGGGGACAACAUUCCGAAAGGAAUGCUAAUACCGCAUACGCCCUACGGGGGAAAGCAGGGGAUCUUCGGACCUUGCGCUAAUAGAUGAGCCUAGUCGGAUUAGCUAGUUGGUGGGGUAAAGGCCUACCAGGGCGACGAUCUGUAGCGGGUCUGAGAGGAUGAUCCGCCACACUGGGACUGGGAAACGGCCCAGACUCCUACGGGAGGCAGCAGUGGGUAAUAUUGGACAAUGGGCGCAAGCCUGAUCCAGCCAUGCCGCGUGUGUGAAGAAGGCCUUCGGGUUGUAAAGCACUUUCAGUGGGGAGGAAGCGUUGUGUGUUAAUAGUACACAGCGUUGACGUUACCUACAGAAGAAGCACCGGCUAACUCUGUGCCAGCAGCCGCAGUAAUAC